rfam:Schistosoma rodhaini strain Burundi genome assembly, scaffold: SROB_scaffold0003615
GCACUUCUGAGAAGUCCCAUAAUAGGACGAAACGGCCGUCCAGUGC